CAUAACUAAUCCUCUGCCUCCAGGAGCCCCUCCUUCUCCUCUCCUGGCUUGUUUACUUAACAGCAAGGACAUAAAUCAGAAUGCCACCAUAUUUGUUUCCAGGCUUCUAAUCCACACCUUAGACGACCAGGGCAUCAUCCCUACUGUAAGUCCUUUACAGCCACACUGCCUGUUGUAUAUGGAGAUAAAACCAUUUUCAUAAUACCCCAUGAGAAGAAGACAACUGGGUCAACACCCUUAGAAAGUCACCCUGCAGUUGGUAUUUUCCUACUAAUCACCCAGAGGUUCCUCUGCUCCUCCAUCCUCACUAGCCAUGAAAACUUUCCCCACAUAUCAUCAUCUCCCGACGUCAGCUCCAUCCUCUCUCUCAUCCAUCCAUCUCCUACACUUGAGUGGUGCUGCUUCCUCCAUAAAAGGUGACCUCAUCCCAUGUGACCAGGAAGACCCAAGUGGCUGAGAAAGAUGGAAGAUUUCGGAAAUGCUUUCUUAUUUCUUUAGAUGCUUUCUUCA